rnacentral:rRNA from 2 species
GACCUCGGAUCAGGUAGGACUACCCGCUGAACUUAAGCAUAUCA